AUUGAACGCUGGCGGCAGGCCUAACACAUGCAAGUCGAGCGGAGCGGCGGACGGGGGAGUGAUGCCUAGGAAUCUGACUGGUCGUGGGGGAUAACGUCCGGAAACGGGAGCUAAUACCGAAUCCUAUUGGAUUAGCCUGGUGCGGAUUAGCUAGUUGGAGGGGUAAAGGCCUACCAAGGCGACGAUCCGUAACUGGUCUGAGAGGAUGAUCAGUCACACUGGAACUGAGACACGGUCCAGACUCCUACGGGAGGCAGCAGUGGGGAAUAUUGCACAAGGGGCGAAAGCCUGAUCCAGCCAUGCCGCGUGUGUGAAGAAGGUCUUCGGAUUGUAAAGUACUUUAAGUUGGGAGGCGUUACCAACAGAAUAAGCACCGGCUAACUUCGUGCCAGCAGCCGCGGUAAUUC
rnacentral:rRNA from 1 species